AUGUCAUUGGUUACCACAAUCCCCCGUCUCGUGAGUGUUUCCGUUAGAAGAAAACAGGACACCAUUUCCUCUUUUUUUCUGUUGCAUACCGGCCGGGAAGGAAGCUCAAGAGAUCUCAAUGUGUAUUGGAUGUUUUUAGACUACUUGAAAAACGGUUAUACAGUGAAGAGUGGAGCAUUUUACAAACCUCUCCUUCAGUAUCGCCUUCCUAAGUCUUAUCAUCAUUUAAACUAUAACUUACCUACCCCAGUAGUGUGGUCUCCUGUUGGACCAGUAUAAGAUGUAGGAGUUGGACUUCUCCUCCUAUGCCAACCAUGCCGAUUUCUUGGUUGCAGAGUAAAUGCACACUCGUUUUUUUCAAAGGUGAAAUAAGUAUACAAACAAUUGAAGUAGAAAUAUUAUUCAGGCAUUUGAGACUUUCCUCAAAAGAACACAAUAAUGAUCUGUGGAGUCCUUGAUACUCUCUGGCUUGAUAGUUUGCUUGCAGAUGUUUCAUUACCUGACUACGGUAGGUAAUUUUGUUUUAUUUUUCUUUUCAAAUGGCAGCUAUUGGAAUUGUAUGUAGGCAGUUUUUUGGGUAUUGCCAGAAGGAUCUUUCAAUUCCCUACCAUCUAGGUCCAAAAAUAACUUUCAAUCAGAGUAACCAAUGCCAUUUCCAUUCCAUGACCAGA